AACGCACAUUGCGCCCCGUGGUAUUCCGCGGGGCAUGCCUGUUCGAGCGUCAUUUCAACCCUCAAGCUCUGCUUGGUAUCGGGCCGCACCGGCGACGGUGGGCCUCAGAAGUAGUGGCGGUGCCGUCCGGCUCUAAGCGUAGUAAUUCUCCUCGCUAUAGAUACCUGGUGGUGUCCGGCCAGCAACCCUUAAUUUUCUAUGGUUGACCUCGGAUCAGGUAGGGAUACCCGCUGAACUUAA
rnacentral:misc_RNA from 1 species